rnacentral:rRNA from 1 species
UACGAGGGGGGCAAGCGUUGUUCGGAUUCAUUGGGCGUAAAGGGUGCGUAGGCGGCGCGGUAAGUCGGGUGUGAAAUCUCGGAGCUUAACUCCGAAACUGCAUUCGAUACUGCCGUGCUUGAGGACUGGAGAGGAGACUGGAAUUUACGGUGUAGCGGUGAAAUGCGUAGAUAUCGUAAGGAAGACCAGUGGCGAAGGCGAGUCUCUGGACAGUUCCUGACGCUGAGGCACGAAGGUCAGGGGAGCAAACGGG